CUUUCCAAUUCCCUUGCAUUAUUUGGUCACAGACGGCGCGGCAGAUCAUGCGGCGCUGCCUUGAUACGAACCGAUGAGCUGUGUGCAUGAGGCGGAUGGGACAGCGGGGACAUCGGAGCACGAAGGGAAACAGGCCCCUGGUUGGGAAGGCUGGAGAUUUUGGCUGAAGUCCGGCUGAUAUCCAGACACAGCCAGAGCACAGCAGCUUCAGAGAAGCUUUUGCAGAGAAUUCCCGUAGCAGAGAAGUGAGGGCCGAGAAGGCACCUGCUGUGCUCGUCACCACACACCGGCCACCGCUCCCUCCGCUCCAGAGACCCACAUUCCUCUGCCAUUCAAAAUCUCAGAGCAACCAGGAGAGGGCAAUGACACAUACACAUAACCUGAUCCAGCCAUGGCAUCGGACCCAGGCUUCCCUUUCCAUCCUUCCAGUGCCACUCCAGGCCCGCCCAGCCCCUGCUUGAAUCUCACAACAGUGAACACCACAGGCCUCCAGCUAAGCCUCUGCUCUCUGUCAUGAUAAACUGAAACAUGCACCAACUUUGAUGAAAGGAGAGAGGAAUAAUAAUAAUAAUAAUAAUAAUAAAAUUGCAGCUGCUGAGACGGACAACUUCCACACAGCUUGAGUUCCAGCUUGGUCACUGUUGACCAAGGUCCACCGUGUGCAAAACUCUACAGCACUGACUGAUCUAAUAUCUGAAAUGGAUAACCUCACAUAAACAGAUCGCUGCAGAAAUCACAGGGAGCCUAUGUUAAUAGGAGUUCCUUGUCAAACUUAAUUUAAAAAAUAAAAAUACCCUUAGCUUUACCAAACGUAACCCUCCUUUCCAGG